rnacentral:lncRNA from 1 species
CAUUCCCCUAGGCAAACAGCUACCUAUCCUUCAAGUCUCAGCUCAAAUCCACUUCCUCUGUGAAGCCUUCCCUCCUUCCCUCUCUGGUCUCUUAGCACAGUUCCAUUCUUUGUGCUUCCAAAGCAUUCGGUCCAUUCCACUAUCAGGACUUAUCAUGCUAUAUUUUAAUUAGCUCUUUGUAUUUCUAUGCUAUUUCUUCACUAGAUUCCUUCAGAGACUGUGUAUGAUUUGAUUCGGUCCUGUACUCCUAGUGCCCAGGACAGAGCCUGGCACAGAAAUGAUAAAAUGAGAGGGUGACAUAAGGGAAAGUCUCCCUGUUUGUGCCCCAUGGAGAUUACAGCAAUUCCAUAUGAAAACUGUUGGGGACAGCCUUUUAAAACAGCUUUAACAGCAGCCCCAGGUGUGAGCCACUGAGAUUCUCCAGAGUUUCUCAAUAGCAGAGCGCUCCGACUCCCUUCCUAUAGGGAUCAAUCAGCUGGAAAGGAACAGACAGGCACUUUCUUCAGAGGAGAGGUUACUGUUGAUCAAGGAAGAAAUUUAUACCUUUGGUGACUUGGCUGGUAAAAGGGCAGACAACAUUUAUUAAUCAACACCAUCUGGUAGAUUCUAGCAGGUGAUGGUUUGUCAUUCAAAGUCCUGAGCCAGCACCUGCCACACAAUUAAAAGCAGGAAAACAGGAAAGAAAAGAAGGAAUCGGAUACACUGAGCAUCAACUUCUCUGUGCCAGGAACCACGGUAGGCAUUUUCUCACACAUUACAUUUUACUAUUCAUUUGUUUAAUCCUAAAACAGAUAUAAUCAACCCCACUUUCGGGGAGUGAACAUAAGUUUAACGAGUUUAAGCUGUUGGCUUAGAAGUUAAGCACUUGUAAGUGAAGCUGAGAUUGCAACCCAAGUUGAGAACUAUUUUCCGCUAUUCCAAAGAUGGCCACUAAAAUUGCUACGUUUCUAGUGCCCGAGGCCAAGGCAUCAUCAUCAAAAUAGCUACCAAUUUUUGCUCAUUUAUGAUGUGUCAAGUAUUAUGCUAAGUGUCACUCCCUCUCUCAGAUAAACCUAACAACUAAUCGCUAUUAUUCUGAUAAGAAAUGGGCAUACUAUGGUUCGAAGAGGCAAAUUUGCUGGUUCACAGUUCAAUAACUAGUAAGUAAUGGAGCCAGGACUCCAAACCAGUUUGACUCAUGUUUCUGGCUUCAGGCUUCUUCCAACAUAGGUCAUUUAAACUGCACAUUAUUCUAUAAAGAGACCAACUCAAAACCUUCACACCUAAUACACACACACACACAUAUAUAUAAAUUUUUUUUUAGGGCAAGAGGAGCUUUGGCCGUUAGUAAAAAAUAUAGUACCUCAGAUCUGUGGUCUUAGCCCUAACCAACCAGCCUGUAGAGACACUGUCUCCAAAUGCCAUGUUUUGAUUCUGAUUUACCAAGAGAUGUUCUAAAUGCUGUCACAAUCUCAUUUGGAGAUAUCCAUCAAUGAGUACAUGUGAGAACUGGGAGGUUCAGGCUGAACUACCCUGAAAUUAAACCCACUCCUGUCAAAGCACAUGGGAUUAGCCAGCUGGGUGACCGGUACGACUUUAAUUAGAUUUUUGGGCUUUAGCCAGCAAAUGCAUCCCCACAGAGCUAAGUGCCCAGGUACUGAAGCACACACUUGUCAGGGUAGCGGAUGACGGGUCUCAUAACAGAUGAAAGCAUUCUGAAAUAGUCUGGGGAAUAUGGCUAAGGCAAUGUCUAAUAUAUGUUGCUUAUAAAGGAGAACAAAAAAACCUUAGCUUGCUUCUCUCCCACACCCACCCUGAGUAGAAUACCAAGUGCCUGAACCAGAGAGAGUGCACCUAAAAUAAAGAUUUCCCUCACCCUUCACCAAACACACACAAUCAUGCACAUGUGCACACUCACACACACUAAAAGGAGAGCCCAGGUUUCUGGGCUCUGACAAUGUAUCAAACUCAGAUGUAUGAAGGCAGAGAUGUGAGGAUCCAAGCAGCAUCCCUGUUACCAACCUCAAGAGCAGGACACUUUAAACAUCCCAGUUAUGGCAUAGACUUGGGAACACUGGGUUUUUUGUUUGUUUUUGCAAAGGUCUCCUGAGUUUCCUUCAAGGGAUAUGAGCCCCUUUGGCAGCAAGGAGGUAUACUACAAUACAGGGGACCUAUCUGUGAUCCUCACUUUUUCACCUUCUUCACUGUAAAUAAGAUUACCAAAGUAAAAACCAAAGCUUGUAUUCACCAGAGCCUAACAAUAUCAUUACAAGUACUCAAUAAAUGUGUUGAAUAAAUAAAAAACUGCAAAUUACAACACAUGCUGAGUCAACCGGCACUAGGUCACUGCAAUCACAGGCAAUUAAAACAAACAAACAUGGAGAACUGACUCUCGGGGCUCAACUUCUCAGUGUUCGUGCACAAUCAGACACAGUGAAUUCAUAAGCCUCUGAUCCAAGCUCAAUUUUCAGCAAAAGAAUUGCCUCCCUACAAAAUGCUAAAGAAGAGGCACAAUGAGACUGGCAAUAAAUGUUGUUGGCAUGAGCAAAGGAUGGUUUGAUCACAUCCAAGAGUAAUGGUUGGCUUACCAUCAAAAUUCAAGAACGCUACAAAAACCAGGACUGCUUGAUCUGGAUCCUGUACAUAGGCUUUAGGUCAGGGCUCAUCUGUAAAACAGGGCUGCAGCAUUUCCAACUGAUUUUGUAGUUCUUGUCCAAGAAAAGAGAAUAAUGGGAAACAGCUAGAUAUAGUCCCAGGGACUGAAAAGCUUAUACUUACAAUCUUACUGACUUGGAUCACAUUGAUCUGGCCCCAUGCAGAAUUGCUUUUGUUGAAUGGGGUAUUGUUGAAGAUGCUAUAAACUGCUCAAAGUACUCUUUAUAAAAGCUCACCAGAGGCAAUUCUUUCCUUGGGCCUCAGUGCCAGCAAAAGCUGUCCUUUUACUUGACAUGUUCAUCUUACAGACACUGCAGACCUUGUAACUGAUUUUCUCUUUUUGCUUUCCCUGCCAGGAGCUACCAGUUGAAUUGUAAGUCUCCCUCUUUAGCACUGUGAAGGAUAUCACAACAUGCUUUUUUUUUUUUUUUUUUUUNNNNNNNNNNNNNNNNNNNNNNNNNNNNNNNNNNNNNNNNNNNNNNNNNNNNNNNNNNNNNNNNNNNNNNNNNNNNNNNNNNNNNNNNNNNNNNNNNNNNNNNNNNNNNNNNNNNNNNNNNNNNNNNNNNNNNNNNNNNNNNNNNNNNNNNNNNNNNNNNNNNNNNNNNNNNNNNNNNNNNNNNNNNNNNNNNNNNNNNNNNNNNNNNNNNNNNNNNNNNNNNNNNNNNNNNNNNNNNNNNNNNNNNNNCUGGGAUUACAGGCGUGAGCCACCGCGCCCGGCCACAAUGUGCAUUUUUAUAUACUCACUCUGGGCCACAGGCAGUGGCUCACACCUAUAAUCCUAACACUUUGGGAGGCCAAGGUAGAAGGAUUGCCUGAGGCCAGGAAUUCAAGACCAGUCUGGGCAACAUAGCAAAACCCUUUCUCUACAAAAAUUUAACAAAUUAGCCAGGUGUGGUAGUGCAUGUCUAUAGUCCCAGCUACUCAGGAGGCUGAGUCAGGAGGAUUACUUGAGCCUGAAGGUUUAAGGCUGCAGUGAGCUAGGAUCGUGCCACUAUACAACAGCCUGAAUGACAGAGUGAGACCCUGUCUCAAAUGAAUUAAUUAAUUAAAAUACUCACUCUAGUUCCAUUUUGCUAGUCACUUUUAUUUUUCCUGAACCCUAAAGCCUUUAUUGGCGAUUCCUCAGGUAUCUAGAACUAGAAAUACCAUUUGACCCAGCCAUCUCAUUACUGGGUAUACACUCAAAGGAUUAUAAAUCAUGCUGCUAUAAAAACACAUGCACAUGUAUGUUUAUUGUGGCCCUAUUCACAAUAGCAAAGACUUGAAACCAACCCAAAUGUCCAACAAUGAUAGACUUGAUUAAGAAAAUGUGGCACAUAUACACCAUGGAAUACUAUGCAGCCAUAAAAAAGGAUGAGUUCAUGUCCUUUGUAGAUACAUGGAUGAAACUGGAAAUCAUCAUUCUCAGCAAACUAUCGCAAGGACAAAAAACCAAACACCACAUGUUCUCACUGAUAGGUGGGAACUGAACAGCGAGAACACAUGGACAGAGGAAGGGGAACAUCACACUCCGGGGACUGUUGUGGGGUGGGGGGAGGCAGGAGGGAUAGCAUUAGGAGAUAUACCUAAUGCUAAAUGACAAGUUAAUGGGUACAGUACACCAACAUGGCACAUGUAUACAUAUGUAACAAACCUGCACAUUGUGCACAUGUACCCUAAAACUUAAAGUAUAAUAAUAAAAAAUAAAAAAUAAAAAAUAAAAAAUAUUGGCCAGGUGCAGUGUCUCACACCUGUAAUCCCAGCACUUUCAGAGGCCAAGAUGCGAAGAUCACUGGAGACCAGGAAUUUGAGACCAGCCUGGGCAACACAGCCAGACCCUGUCUCCACAAAAAAUAAAAAUUAAAUUAGCUGGGCAUGUUGGCAUUCACCCGAAGUCCCAGCUACACAGGAGGGUGAGGCAGUAGGAUCCCUUGAGCCCAGGAAUUUGAGGCUGCAGUGAGUUAUGAGCAUGCCACCGCACUCCAGUCUAGGCAACACUGUGAAACUCUGUCCCAAAAAAUAUGUAUGUACAUAUAUACAUAGGCACUAUCUGACCCAGUAAUCUCACUCCUCAGGAUCUAUCCUAGGGAUUUCAAGAGAAAAUAUCCUUAUGUCAAAAGAUGUUCAUUGUGGUAUUAUUUAAAUAGCCAAAAUGUCCAACAAAGGAGAUUAUUAAGUAAAUCAUGUGAAAUCUAUUCAGUGAAAGGGUAUGCAUCAUAAUUCAACAUGAUCGUUCUGGAGCCUACACCAUGAGAUGGUGCCUAUGACAGACUAAGUGAUCAAAGACAGAACAGUAUUUAGCCUCUGAUUAGACCAGGAGCCCAGGGGCAUCAGGACUGAACGAUAGUACAGAAAAUCAGUAAGAGUUACUUUGCUAGGGUAGUGGAAUUAUAGCUACCAUUUUCUAGUUUUUCUAGGUUUCCUUUAUUGAUCCAUUAAUGUUUGUUAAAAUUUUAUUAAAAUAUACAAACAUUUGCAUUUCAAUUCUUUCUUCAGUGUUAACACUGGGAUUUCACCUUCUGGAUCCUGGUGUCCCUAUCAGCAGCAGCCACCAGAGAACUAACCACUGGUACUCUUUUGAGUCCUCUACUCUAAUGACUGCCUGGCCCAGGAUCUCAGGCAGACAAUUCAAUUAACCUUCAUGGCAAUGAUCACUCAGACCCAGACCCCAAUCCUACCUGAUUGCAACAAGGCUACAUAUCUGGAUGUGACUCUCAGGAGGGAUUAAAUUAAAAGACACUGAAUAUUUAAGUUUAAGUAUAAUUGAAAUUUAAUAAGUCUACCAAAUUCAGAGAGGAUUUUUAAAUGCUAAUACCCAAUGCUAAAUACAGUACAGUCAUAAAAAAGAUCACCUAGAGAAACCUGAUAUAAUCUUUCUGUAGAACAAUUUGAAUAUAUCUGUACAACAGUCCUUAAAAUAUUCAUACUCUUUGGCCCAGUUAUUAUACCUCUAUCAGGAACAAUCAGUGAGGUGGGCAUGGUGGUAUGUGCCUAUAAUCCCAGCUACUCAAGAAACUGAGGUGGGAGGAUCACUUGAGCCCAGGAGUUCAGGAAUAGCCCAGGAAACAGAGUGAGACCCUGUCUCAAAAAAAACAACAAAGAAUCAGUGGAUAAAUAUUUAUGUACAAGGAUGUUUGCUGCAGAAGUCAUAAGGCAAAAAAACAGUAAAAUAAUCUAAAUGCCGUUCAAAAAAGAACUAGUUAAAUAAACUGUAAUACAUCCAAGUGAUGAAAUAUUAUGCUGGCACAAAAAAAAUUGUUUUUGAAGAACAUUCAUGACAUGGCAACAAACCAGAGAGAGAACAUUAAACUUAAAAAAACACGAUACAAAACUGUAUUUUCAACUCGAUAACAACUCUGUGUGUGUGUGUGUGUGUGUGAGAGAGAGAGAGAGAGAGAGAGAGAGGAGAAUAAAAGGACUGAAAUGCCAAAUAGAUCAAAUGAAGCUGGUCAUUUCUAGGUACUGAGAUAAUAAGUGAAAUAUUUUCUUAAGUCUUCUGUACUGAAUAUCACCCUACAACCAGACACAGCCACAUAGCCCCAAAAGCACUGUCCACUGUGUCAGAAGGGCAGGGCGGUACUCACACGGAUGGUGCAGUCUCCUUUGCUCUUCUCUCGAUGGGCUUCCUCCAGGUCCUUCUCCAGUCUCUCCCUCUCCUGCUGCAAGUCACUCAGCUCCUGGGUGAUCUUCUUAAUGCUUCUACGCAGUCUGUGGUUCUCUGUACUCUUGGUGAGGUUUUGUGAGCGCAGCGCAGCCGAAAGGGCUUUCUUUCCUGAUAGAGCAGUCUCAUAGUCUUCAGACCCCUAGAAGAGAAGGCAGAGAAGCAAGAUGAGCUAAUUUUCAUACCUCAUGAAACAAACCAAGAAACCUGGGCUCUUUUUCGCCAUGGGGGAAAAAAAGAAAAGAAAAAGAUUAACAUAGACAACAUUCAGAAACCAAAGCAAAAAUAAUAGGAAGAUUUUGGAAUAACAUAAGAUAAUGUUUCUUAUGAUGUGGAUGGUUGUACGAAAGAAGUAUUUUCUUAAAGGACCAGAAAAAAAGCACAAAUUCUCAGCUGGGCACAGUGGCUCACACCUGUAAUCCCAGCACUUUGGGAGGCUGAGGCAGAUGGAUCAUGAGGUCAGGAGUUCAAGACUAGCCUGGCCAACACGGUGAAACCCCGUCUCUGCUAAAAAUACAAAAAUUAGCCAGGCGUGGAGGUGGGUGCCUGUAGUCCCAGCUACUCGGGAAGGCUGAGGCAGAGAACUGCAUGAACCCGGAGGCGGAGGCUGCAGUGAGCCGAGAUCGUACCACUGCACUCCAGCCUGGGUGACAGAGCGAGACUCCGUCUCAAAAAAGAGCGAGACUCCGUCUCAAAAAAAAAGAAAAAAGAAAGAA